rnacentral:rRNA from 1 species
GAGUGAUCUGUCUGCUUAAUUGCGUUUCAUAUUUACGAAUGUCGCUUACGUGAUUGCUGCAGACCUCGCCUCUCUUUAUUGAGAGUGCGACGCGUCUCUUCAACUCACUCGCACAUUCUCUUGAACGCAACGAGCGUGACCGCAACCUCUUGUUGUGUAUACCAAGUGUGUCGUUGCUUGCAACUCACACUCCAAUGCACGUAUUUUGGUCACAUUGUC